CCCGCACAAGCGGUGGAGCAUGUGGUUUUAAUUCGACGCAACGCGCAGAACCUUACCAGGUCUUGACAUCCCGAUGCUAUUUCUAGAGAUAGAAAGUUACUUCGGUACAUCGGUGACAGGUGGUGCAUGGUUGUCGUCAGCUCGUGUCGUGAGAUGUUGGGUUAAGUCCCGCAACGAGCGCAACCCCUAUUGUUAGUUUGCCAUCAUUCAGUUGGGCACUCUAGCGAGACUGCCGGUAAUAACCGGAGAAGUGGGGAUGACGUCAAAUCAUCAUGCCCCUUAUGACCUGGGCUACACACGUGCUACAAUGGUUGGUACAACGAGUUGCGAGUCGGUGACGGCGAGCUAAUCUCUUAAAGCCAAUCUCAGUUCGGAUUGUAGGCUGCAACUCGCCUACAUGAAGUCGGAAUCGCUAGUAAUCGCGGAUCAGCACGCCGCGGUCGAAUACGUUCCCGGGCCUU
rnacentral:rRNA from 1 species